ensembl:lncRNA LINC00446 long intergenic non-protein coding RNA 446
AUACAUGUGAUAUAGAAAUUAAACAACAGAUCUAAUUCUGAAACAAGUUUAGAUUUAUCUGUAUUUUAAAAAAUAUUGUAGAGCAAUGAAAUAUAUUUUCUUAAUCUGACUUUUAAAGGAAUAUUUAAUUUAUGGUACUUUUUUCUGGUUAAUUUUAUCUUUUCCAUACCAAGUAAUAUAGGCAGUUGCAACAUCCAUGAAGAGUUGUUAAUUGGAGCACAAGGCAUCUGCAGUGUCAAAUCUACAGAGACAAGUGCACCUGGAGACAAAUGACCAGACUACCAUAAAACAGAAGCUUAAUUAUGUUCACUUACAUUUUCAAAUUAUUCCCAACAAAUUACCCUGGGUCCUUAUGUGACAGGUGUCAUACCCUAUACCUGGAAGAAGGAAUGCUGCAUAGAGAGGCCCGGAAGAAUCUGAAAAAACAGGCCUUACUGGGCUCCUUCAGUUUAUCACCAUUACAACACACCCUUUUUGUCCAAUCGUAUUUCUAUACAGCUGAUCCUGCAUUGAGUGCAAGCAAAAAACUGUCAAGUUUUCCCUGGAUCUUUGGGCUUUCAUUUCUGAAGUCUCCUGUGUCACGUAAAACUUUGUUAAAUAAAUUUGUUAUGC